GACGAACGCUGGCGGCGUGCUUAACACAUGCAAGUCGAACGGAAAGGCCCUGCUUUUGUGGGGUGCUCGAGUGGCGAACGGGUGAGUAACACGUGAGUAACCUGCCCUUGACUUUGGGAUAACUUCAGGAAACGGGGGCUAAUACCGGAUAGGAGCUCCUGCUGCAUGGUGGGGGUUGGAAAGUUUCGGCGGUUGGGGAUGGACUCGCGGCUUAUCAGCUUGUUGGUGGGGUAGUGGCUUACCAAGGCUUUGGCGGGUAGCCGGCCUGAGAGGGUGACCGGCCACAUUGGGACUGAGAUACGGCCCAGACUCCUACGGGAGGCAGCAGUGGGGAAUAUUGCCCAAUGGGCGGACGUCUGAUGCAGCAACGCCGCGUGCGUGAUGACGGCCUUCGGGUUGUAAACCGCUUUCGCCUGUGACGAAGCGUGAGUGACGGUAAUGGGUAAAGAAGCACCGGCUAACUACGUG
rnacentral:rRNA from 1 species